rnacentral:rRNA from 1 species
AGUGAACGCUGGGGGUAGGCCUAACACAUGCAAGUCGAACGGCAGCACAGUAAGAGCUUGCUCUUACGGGUGGCGAGUGGCGGACGGGUGAGGAAUACAUCGGAAUCUACUUUUUCGUGGGGGAUAACGUAGGGAAACUUACGCUAAUACCGCAUACGACCUACGGGUGAAAGCAGGGGAUCUUCGGACCUUGCGCGAUUGAAUGAGCCGAUGUCGGAUUAGCUAGUUGGCGGGGUAAAGGCCCACCAAGGUGACGAUCCGUAGCUGGUCUGAGAGGAUGAUCAGCCACACUGGAACUGAGACACGGUCCAGACUCCUACGGGAGGCAGCAGUGGGGAAUAUUGGACAAUGGGCGCAAGCCUGAUCCAGCCAUACCGCGUGGGUGAAGAAGGCCUUCGGGUUGUAAAGCCCUUUUGUUGGGAAAGAAAAGCAGCAGGUUAAUACCCCGCUGUUCUGACGGUACCCAAAGAAUAAGCACCGGCUAACUUCGUG